AAAAAAGAAAGAAAGAAAAGAAAAUCCCUGCAUUCCCACACUUCCAUCCAAUAUAAGAUGUCCCUUUAAGUAAUUUGGAAAUUGCUGAUAGUCUACUUAUGCAAUAGGUUCCUGAUAAUAGCUUAUCACUGAAACAUUGCCAGCAGUAUCUUAACUCCACCCAAGCAUACAAGAACCAAAACUUAAAAUUGAACUACUCAAAUGAAAAAGCUGCUGAUACUAGUUAAAUGAAACCUCAGCCAAUAAUUAAUAAAUAAGAUUCAAAAUAGCCAGUAAUUAACAUUCUUAUUUGACUCUUCAUUCUUGGAGGUUCUGAUCUUUUUGCAAUUCUUAGUGGAAGAGGGUGUUUACGCAUGUGUCUGUCAUGACAACAAUGGCAUCAAUACCAUGUCUUCCACUAGGAGGAAUACAGGUAAUAAAUAUAGAUGUCUAUUGCUUUCUAGCUGGACACAACUUAAAAAAUGUCAUGAAUCUCAUUGAACAUACAAAGCUCAAUAAAAAUUUAGAACAUCAAAGUGAGAAAGGGGUGACCAUAACAAAUGACAUCCAUCAAUAAUGGAAAUUACAUUUAUCCAAAAUAGUGUAAUGUCAAUUUCCUUACCGAUUAACUAUAUAAACCUUUCAAAUGCAGAAAAUGACAAAUAUAUAGAUGUAUAUCGUUCAUCAUUGAAAGCACGAAGACUGCUUAAGAAAAUGCUGAAUUUAUUGCUAGUCAAAAAACAAACGAACCACAACAGCAGGAAUAAGUACACUGUUUAAGGACUGACAAAUAAAAUUUAUCAAAAAAGUGCUAUCAACAGAAUCAUAGGAUGUCAG
rnacentral:misc_RNA from 1 species